rnacentral:rRNA from 1 species
GACGAACGCUGGCGGCGUGCUUAAUACAUGCAAGUCAACUUGCUUCAAGGUAGUAAUAUCUUGAGGAAGGUGGCGCACGGGUGAGUAACACGUAGGUAAUCUGCCUUUAGGUCUGACAUAAUUCCGCGAAAGCGGGACUAAUAUCAGAUGAUGCAGCGGCUCGACAUCGAGACAGUUGUUAAACCUUCGGGGCCUAAAGAUGAGCCUGCGCCUGAUUAGGAGUUGGCGGAGUAAAAGCCCACCAAGCCUACGAUCAGUAGCUGGUCUGAGAGGAUGAUCAGCCACACUGGAACUGAGACACGGUCCAGACUCCUACGGAGGCAGCAGUAAGGAAUAUUGCUCAAUGCCGAAAGGCUGAAGCAGCAACGCGCGUGGAGGAUGAAAUACUUUUGUAUGUAAACUCCUGUAAGAAGGGAAAAUAUACAGUUAUUCUGUUUUG